rnacentral:rRNA from 1 species
UAACAAGGAUUCCCUUAGUAACUGCGAGUGAAGCGGGAAGAGCUCAAAUUUGUAAUCUGGCGAUCUCUGGUCGUCCGAGUUGUAAUCUGUAGAGGCGUCGUCCGCGUCGGCCCGUGUACAAGUCUCCUGGAAUGGAGCGUCAUAGAGGGUGAGAAUCCCGUCCAUGACACGGACCACCGAUGCUUUGUGAGGUGCCCUCGAAGAGUCGCGUUGUUUGGGAAUGCAGCGCAAAAUGGGUGGUAAAUUCCAUCUAAGGCUAAAUAUUGGCGAGAGACCGAUAGCGAACAAGUACCGUGAGGGAAAGAUGAAAAGCACUUUGGAAAGAGAGUUAAACAGUACGUGAAAUUGUUGAAAGGGAAACGCUUGAAGUCAGUCGCGUCCUGGGGCAUUCAGCCUCGCUUCGGCUUGGUGUACUUGCCUUGGGAUGGGUCAACAUCAAUUUUGGCUGGUGGAUAAGGGUGAGGGGAAUGUAGCGUUGUUUCGGCGACGUGUUAUAGCCCCUCAUUGAAUACAUCGGCUGGGAUUGAGGACCGCAGCACGCCCUUGUGGCCGGGGGUUCGCCCUACUCACGUGCUUAGGAUGUUGGCAUAAUGGCUUUAAGCGACCCGUCUUGAAACACGGACCAAGGAGUCUAACAUGCUUGCGAGUGUUCGGGUGGAAAACCCUUGCGCGUAAUGAAAGUGAAAGUUGGGAGCCUUCGCGAGGAGGUGCACCGACGCCCGGCCCUGAUGUGCUCUGACGGUGCUGCGGUAGAGCAAGUAUGUUGGGACCCGAAAGAUGGUGAACUAUGCCUGAAUAGGGUGAAGCCAGAGGAACUCUGGUGGAGGCUCGUAGCGAUUCUGACGUGCAAAUCGAUCGUCAAAUUUGGG